rnacentral:rRNA from 1 species
GACAGAGGUGCCGAGCGUUAGGCGGAAUCACUGGGCUUAAAGCGUGUGUAGGCGGGCGGGCAAGUACCUUGUGAAAUCCCACGGCUCAACCGUGGAACGGCUGGGUAUACUGCCUGUCUUGAGCCAACUAGGGGCGAGCGGAACAGACGGUGGAGCGGUGAAAUGCGUAGAUAUCGUCUGGAACGCCGAAGGUGAAGGCGGAUCUCUGGGCCAUUACUGACGCUGAGGAGCGAAAGCGUGGGGAGCGAACAGG